AUGAGUUUACGGCAUCUCUCAAAUGCCGUUGGUGCGGGUGGGUUACUACCGUCCAGUUUCUUGCUUCUGGUCAAAGAGCAAGUGGCGUGCAUGGCA
rnacentral:ncRNA from 1 species